rnacentral:rRNA from 1 species
UACGGAGGAUCCAAGCGUUAUCCGGAUUUAUUGGGUUUAAAGGGUGCGUAGGCGGUUUAAUAAGUCAGUGGUGAAAUCUUGCAGCUUAACUGUAAAAUUGCCAUUGAUACUGCUAGACUUGAGUAUAGUUGAGGUGGGCGGAAUGUGUUGUGUAGCGGUGAAAUGCAUAGAUAUAACACAGAACACCAAUUGCGAAGGCAGCUCACUAAGCUAUAACUGACGCUGAGGCACGAAAGCGUGGGUAGCGAACAGGAUUAGAUACCCUGGUAGUCCACGCCGUAAACGAUGAUUACUCGUUGCAGGCGAUAUACAGUCUGUGACCAAGCGAAAGCAUUAAGUAAUCCACCUGGGGAGUACGUUGGCAACGAUG